GAUGAACGCUGGCGGCGUGCUUAACACAUGCAAGUCGAACGAUGAAGCCCAGCUUGCUGGGUGGCUUAGUGGCGAACGGGUGAGUAACACGUGAGUAACCUGCCCUUAACUCUGGGAUAAGCCUGGGAAACUGGGUCUAAUACCGGAUAGGAGCGCCUACCGCAUGGUGGGUGUUGGAAAGAUUUAUCGGUUUUGGAUGGACUCGCGGCCUAUCAGCUUGUUGGUGAGGUAAUGGCUCACCAAGGCGACGACGGGUAUCCGGCCUGGGAGGGUGACCGGCCACACUGGGCCUGGGACACGACACAGACUCCUACGGGAGGCAGCGGAGGGGAAGAUUGUACAAGGGGCUAAAGCAUGAUGCAGCGAAGCCGCGUGGGGUAUGUCAGCAUGCGGGUUGUGAAGCUCUGUCAGUAGGGAAGAAGCGAUAGUGACGGUACCGGCAGAAGAAGCACCGGCUAACUACGUG
rnacentral:rRNA from 1 species